rnacentral:rRNA from 1 species
CAGCAGCCACGGGAAUACGGAGGGUGCAAGCGUUAUCCGGAUUUAUUGGGUUUAAAGGGUCCGUAGGCGGAUCUGUAAGUCAGUGGUGAAAUCUCACAGCUUAACUGUGAAACUGCCAUUGAUACUGCAGGUCUUGAGUAAAUUUGAAGUGGCUGGAAUAAGUAGUGUAGCGGUGAAAUGCAUAGAUAUUACUUAGAACACCAAUUGCGAAGGCAGGUCACUAAGAUUUAACUGACGCUGAUGGACGAAAGCGUGGGGAGCGAACAGGAUUAGAUACCCCUGUAGUCCCUGUCUCUGAUAC